UACGUAGGGUCCGAGCGUUGUCCGGAAUUACUGGGCGUAAAGCGCGCGCAGGCGGUUCUUUUAAGUCAGGGGUGAAAGCCCAGAGCUCAACUCUGGAAUUGCCUUUGAAACUAGAGAACUUGGGUACGGGAGAGGUGAGUGGAAUUCCGAGUGUAGAGGUGAAAUUCGUAGAUAUUCGGAAGAACACCAGUGGCGAAGGCGGCUCACUGGCCCGUUACCGACGCUCAGGCGCGACAGCGUGGGGAGCAAACAGG
rnacentral:rRNA from 1 species